rnacentral:rRNA from 1 species
UACAGAGGUCCCAAGCGUUGUUCGGAUUCACUGGGCGUAAAGGGUGCGUAGGCGGUCGGGUAAGUCUGAUGUGAAAUCUCACAGCUUAACUGUGAAACUGCAUUGGAUACUAUUCGACUUGAGAGUUGGAGGGGGGACUGGAAUUCUUGGUGUAGCAGUGAAAUGCGUAGAUAUCAAGAGGAACACCAGUGGCGAAGGCGAGUCCCUGGACAACUUCUGACGCUGAGGCACGAAAGCUAGGGGAGCAAACAGG